rnacentral:rRNA from 1 species
CGGCACGGGUGGGUAACACGUAUCCAACCUGCCGUCUACUCUUGGACAGCCUUCUGAAAGGAAGAUUAAUACAAGAUGGCAUCAUGAGUCCGCAUGUUCACAUGAUUAAAGGUAUUUCGGUAGACGAUGGGGAUGCGUUCCAUUAGAUAGUAGGCGGGGUAACGGCCCACCUAGUCUUCGAUGGAUAGGGGUUCUGAGAGGAAGGUCCCCCACAUUGGAACUGAGACACGGUCCAA